rnacentral:rRNA from 1 species
ACGAACGCUGGCGGCAUGCCUAACACAUGCCAGUCGCACGCGACCUUCGGGUCUAGUGGCGCACGGGUGCGUAACGCGUGGGAACCUGCCCUUAGGUUCGGAAUAACUCCCCGAAAGGGGUGCUAAUACCGGAUAAUGUCUUCGGACCAAAGAUUUAUCGCCUUUGGAUGGGCCCGCGUUGGAUUAGCUAGUUGGUAGGGUAAAAGCCUACCAAGGCGACGAUCCAUAGCUGGUCUGAGAGGAUGAUCAGCCACACUGGGACUGAGACACGGCCCAGACUCCUACGGGAGGCAGCAGUGGGGAAUAUUGGACAAUGGGCGAAAGCCUGAUCCAGCAAUGCCGCGUGAGUGAUGAAGGCCUUAGGGUUGUAAAGCUCUUUUACCCGGGAUGAUAAUGACAGUACCGGGAGAAUAAGCGCCGGCUAACUCCGUG